AUUGAACGCUGGCGGCAGGCCUAACACAUGCAAGUCGAACGAGUGGCGGACGGGUGUGUAAUGUCUGGGAAACUGCCUGAUGGAGGGGGAUAACUACUGGACACGGUAGAUAAUACCGCAUACCAUCAGAUGUGCCCAGGUGGGAUUAGCUAGUUGGUGGGGUAACGGCUCACCAAGGCGACGAUCCCUAGCUGGUCUGAGAGGAUGACCAUCCACCCUGGAACUGAGACACGGUCCAGACUCCUACGGGAGGCAGCAGUGGGGAAUAUUGCACAAUGGGCGCAAGCCUUAUGCAGCCAUGCCGCGUGUAUGAAGCAGGCCUUCGGGUUGUAAAGUACUUUCAGCGGGGAGGCGUUACCCGCAGAAGAAGCACCGGCUAACUCCGUGCCAGCAGCCGCGGUAAUAC
rnacentral:rRNA from 1 species